ACCCAAACCCCAAACCAUAUAUAAAAUAAAUAAGUUCUCUCCCUCCAAAAAACCUAAAACUCUUAAGGUUUUAUGUCUAAUCUAUCAUCUAUCUCUCCAUCUAUCUAUCUAUGUUUGUACAUAGCAUAAGGCAGACCACCUGUUAUUCUUCAGAGUUGAAUAUUCAGAUAAACAUAUAUAAGAAGCAAAAAUAUGAAAAUAAUUAUGCAUAUAUUAAUUUUUGUACAUUUUCUUAAGCUAUCCCAGGGCCUUCCUUCCAUUUACAGUUAGGCUGUGAAUUGUUUCCAAUUCAUUAGGAAAAAUGCCCUUUCAGCCAGCUGGUAAAGUUAAGAGCAUGCCGAUUUAAAUUUAUUUUCUUCACUUUUGUUUCUAUCUCCUCUUCCUCAGAAGUAUCGAGGUAUGUUAGUGACAUCAGCUGAUACAUUCUAACUUCUUUCAGAAAAGAAACAAACAAAAACUGAAAAAUGCACUGUUCAAACUCCUUUGGCUCCUUGGUCCCAGAAGAAAAUAUGGGAAGGAAGAAUCAUUUCUCUCCGUGAUAUGAUCUUGAAUGUAGGCCAUGUUUACUCAACUUACGAAAGGGAACACAUCUUCCCUUUUUAACAAAUGUGUUUUAUCUCACAGGAUUCCAUAGUCAUUAUAAUGAAAUAGAAACAGAACCUUGUGUUUAGACCACACUAACUCCCUUCUUACCCACAGUUAUUCUGUUUACUGACACUGUUUUGCCAUUCUCUUUGGUUGUCUCUUCUGGGCUCAUGCUGCUGAGUGAAGAUUUUUUCUUUUGCCUUUCUUGGUGACGGUACUGACAUUGCUACCAGAGGAGAGGUGUUGACACAUAGCUGACAUCCCCAAGGCCCAGCUUGUAGGAGACUGUGACUCUCACAUCUAUCUAUCUUUUUUUUUUUUUUUUUUUUUUCUGGCUGAGUCUGGUUCUGUUUGAUUUCUAUCCCAAAUGAGAUUUUUAGAGCAUUUGAGGAAAAUCUUUUCAGAAAGUGAAACAAAAUGGAAAAAAAAAAAAAGUUUCUCCCCUCACCAUCCAAACUCUUUGUUAUGAUUUUGUUCCUGAAGAUAAUUUUAGAAAAUCAUUUCUAUAUGAUGGGAACACACACUUGCCCCUGGUUCUUGACAGCUCAAAGUGUUCAAGAUGGGGACUUCUCUAAACAAGUGGCUUAAUGUGAAGAUGAUUUUGAAUGUUUGGAAAUUCCAUGCUGGAUGUGUGGAAUGAAAGUGUCACUAUGUUAGGAGUGAGCUGUUAGUAUAAUGAAGACAAAACGGUAUGGGGACCAUCCCCUUGGGAGCAACUGUGAACCACAGGGGAAGAAUUCCAAACAACGGCAAGAAGGGCCAUUUGCCAGCACCAACACCAGAAGCUGGAAAUCUGUAGCAGUUUUGAGCAGAAGGCCUCACUUUCAAAUACCAUUACCUUGGGGUUAGGAUUUCAACACAAGAAUUUUGGGAAGACAUGACCAUUCAGACUGAAAAACACAUUGUUUCUAAGUUAUGUGUAGAAAGUUCAGUUAUUGAUGUCUAGCAGCUAUUACAAAAUAUGAGACUGAAUAUAGAAAAUUACAAUUUAAUGAUCUGCAUUGGGGAGGCAUCCACACAUAGGUUAUAGGUUGAAGAUAGAGGAGUAUGCGUAGCAUACUAGUCUAUGUAAUGGUCUGUCUUGGUUUAAACUCCAGUUCUGCCACUUUAUUAACUAAUUUGUGACUCAGUGCUCUCAUCUGAAAACACGUAAAAUAAGAAUAUCCAUCUAAAAUGAUUGUUACAAGGAUUAAAUAAGUUAAUAUUUGUAAUGUGAUUAUAACAGAUCUUGGCACAUAGUAAUCUAUAUAUCUAUCUAGAUCUAAAUGUAAUUUUACUAUAUAAAUGAAAUUUAAAAAGGGGAAUAAAUGGAGAACUUCUCUGGGAGAAUACUGAGAGAGAAGAGAAGAGGGCUGAGAAUUGGGGCAACCAAUGUUUUAAAAAAAAAAAAGCAAAAGAAAAGGAGUCAGUGAAGGAGACAGAGUGAUGAGGGAGGCGGGGGAAAAACUCCAGAGUGGUGUCCUGGAAGCCUAGGAGAAGUUUGCCACAUUGCAGACUUCAGGCAGGAAUGUAAACCUUGAGAUGGCGGGUGCUGCAUUUACUUUGUUCUCUGCUGAAUCCUCUGGCCUUAGCACAGUGCCUGAUAUAUAGCAGGUGCCCAGUAAAUAUUUGGCAAAUGAAAAUGCCAAAGAGAAGUUGGAAAGAUAAGGGCCUGAAUAUGUUUAUUUAUGUUUAACAAAAAUAGGUUAGUUGGGGACUUAGACCUCCCUAUAUAGUGCCAUACUGGCGUCAGAACUUGAUGUUAAAAUAUUCUUACUUUAUGAUUUAACCCAUACAGCUAUUGCCUGUUAUGACCAUGGUUUCAUUAUAAUUUUUUGAAACUGGCCCCAAAGUCUCUUUUUUUAAAAUAACUGCAUUCUGCCUAUGAUCACAGGCAUAUUUUUAGCCUUUUUCUAAAUGCCAAAAUUAGUCAUUAGAUAGAAGAACUGGUCAUCAACCAGGCCAGUGAAUGACUCAAGAUUCCGUCAUUUGACCUCAUAUUGAAAAUAUGAAGGCCAAACCGAGUCUGACAACCAGCACUGCUUUCUGCGUUUCAUUUUUACUGUACAGAAAAACAAUCAUCUAAAAUAUUGAUUUUUCUUUUAUUUGAGUAUGUGGCAGGCAGUACAUUGCCCUUUACUACAAAUGGACUGGUUGUAAAAAUCUCCACACGAGGAGGUAGUUAAGACUGAAUCCUACCACUGUAUUUCUGAACUCCUUAGACUAAUGGAUUCCAUUGAAUUGGUCUCAGAUUAAAUUUCUCUAACUAUUAAAUUAAUUUUUCUACUUCCUUGCUCAAAAACUCUCCAUGGAAUACAUAUCAAGCCUCUUUAAUCUGGCCAAACUCCUUUUUUUCUGAAUUCCCCCUGUGUAAACUCUAUGCUACGGUCACACUAGUCUACUUUCUUUUCUCAAAUUCUUGGUUCUCACUUGUGUAUCUUUUGUUAGAUUUACUCCUAGAUAUCAUAUAGUAUUGAAAUAUUUUCUCUGUCAUAUUAUUCAGUGGAUUGUGACUGGUGCUUAGGAAUGUGCCCCCAAAUUUUGUAUGCAGCUCUUUUACCCAUGAAUCCGUAGAUAAUUUUCAAUUUCUAAUGGCUGAAUAUAGAAGCUAUUGAAUUUUUUGUGUGGACAGAUCAUAUGUUUCACAAAUAAUGAUAGUUAGGUCUCUGUUUUUCCAAUUAUUAUACCAAAAAUUUCAUUGGCUUUCAUUUACUAGAACUUACACUAAAAUGUUCAAUAGAAGUAGCAGUAGUUGGCAACCUUGUCUUUUUCACGACAUGUAAAGGAAUGCUUUUCAAAUGUCAUCAUUAAGCUACUUGGUUAAUAAUGACAUAUAUGUGAGUCAGCAUGUUGAAUGGUUAAGAGCUACAACUCUGGACCAAUCUGGCUGGGCUUAAAUUCUAGCUCUGCUACUUAGCUGCGGUGUUACAUUGGAUAAAUUAACUCUGUUUUCCUCAUGUGUAAUAUGGGGAAUGAUAGCAUCUAAAUCAUAGAAUUGUUGUAAAGAUUCAAUGAGAUAAUACUUACAAAGUGCUUAAAACUAUCUGACACAUACCAGCAUGAUAUAAGUGUUUCUUAUAUAAAUAUAUUGAGGUAAUCGUUUGAAAUCUCCCAUUUAAUAUACUACUUUAAUUGAUAUUAUUAUAUAGAAUAGCUGUUAAAUUCUUGGAGUCAGCCAUAUAGAAUUAUGAAUUUAAAAAAUAUAUAGUUCAUUUCUAGUCAAUAUUGUACUGGAGGUUCUAAUCAGUACAAUUAAGCAAGAAAAAGUAAUAAAAGGCACACGGAUCAGAAAAAAAGAGGUAAAACUAUAUGCACAGAUGGCAUAAUGUUGUACACAGAAAUCAUAAAAAAUCCACAAAACUAUUAGAGCUAAUAAGCACAUUCAGCAAGGUUGCAGAGUACAAGAUUAAUAUACAAAAAUGAGUUGUAUUUCUAUACACUAGCAAUAAACAUUCAAAAAGGAAGUUAGCAAAACAAUUCCACUGAUAGUAACAUCAAGAAUAAUAAUAUGUUUAAGAAUAGAGGGAACAAAAAAAUAUGAGAUUUAUAAACCUAAAAUGAUACAGCAUUUUUAAAGAAAUUAAGAAAUAGCUAAAUAAAUGGAAAGAUAUCUCUUACUUGUGGAUCAGAAGAAUUAAUCUUAAGGUAGACAUACUCCCCAAACUGAUCUGUAGCAACACAAUCACUACCAAAAUUCUAUCUGCUUUUUUUUUUAAAGAAAUAAACUGAUUCUAAAAUUGCUGAUUUCAAAAAUUACUAGAAUGCUAUAGUAAUCAAGGUAUUGUGGCACUGGCAUAAGGAUAGACAUAUGAUCAAGGGAAUAGAAUAUAGAGUCCAGAAAUAAACCCUUAUAUUUAAGGUCAAUUUAUUUUUGACAAGAGUGCCAAGAUAACUUGAUUAAGAAUAGUCUUUUCAAUAAAUGCUGAUGUGACAACUGGAUACCCAUGUGUAAAAGAAUGACUUUGGAAUUGAGUUACAACAUAUACAAAUAUUAACUCAAAAAUGGGUCAACAACCUAAAUACAAGAGCAAAAACCUUCAAACUCUAGGAAAAAAAUUAUAAAAGUAAAUCCUUGUGAGCUUGGAUGAGGCAAUGUUUUCUUAGAUAUGACACCAAAAGCACAUAAGCACCAGAAGAAAAGAAUUGGACUGCAUCAAAUUAAAAACUUUUGAGCUUCAAAGGACAUUAUCAAGAAACUGAUAAGACAAACAACAGAGUGGAUGAAAAUAUUUGCAAAUCAUAUACUUGAGAAGGUACCAGUAUCCAGAAUACAUGAAGAACCUUUGUAAAUCAACAAUAAAAAGAAAUAAUUCAAUUUAAAAACCCUGGGCAAGGGAUUUGAAUAGACA